rnacentral:rRNA from 1 species
AGUAAGGAAUAUUGGUCAAUGGACGCAAGUCUGAACCAGCCAUGCCGCGUGGAGGAUGAAGGUCCUCUGGAUUGUAAACUUCUUUUAUCUGGGACGAAACACUUCUUUUCUAAGAGGCCUGACGGUACCAGAUGAAUAAGCACCGGCUAACUCCGUGCCAGCAGCCGCGGUAAUACGGAGGGUGCAAGCGUUAUCCGGAUUCACUGGGUUUAAAGGGUGCGUAGGUGGGUAUGUAAGUCAGAGGUGAAAUCCCCGAGCUUAACUUGGGAACUGCCUUUGAUACUAUAUAUCUUGAAUGCCGUAGAGGUAAGCGGAAUAUGUCAUGUAGCGGUGAAAUGCUUAGAUAUGACAUGGAACACCAAUUGCGAAGGCAGCUUACUAUGCGGUUAUUGACACUGAGGCACGAAAGCGUGGGUAGCAAA